GACAUUAAUGACAAUGCCCCCAUGUUUGAGAAGGACGAACUGGAGCUGUUUGUUGAGGAGAACAACCCAGUGGGGUCGGUGGUGGCAAAGAUUCGUGCUAACGACCCUGAUGAAGGCCCUAAUGCCCAGAUCAUGUAUCAGAUUGUGGAAGGGGACAUGCGGCAUUUCUUCCAGCUGGACCUGCUCAACGGGGACCUGCGUGCCAUGGUGGAGCUGGACUUUGAGGUCCGGCGGGAGUAUGUGCUGGUGGUGCAGGCCACAUCGGCUCCGCUGGUGAGCCGAGCCACGGUGCACAUCCUUCUCGUGGACCAGAAUGACAACCCGCCCGUGCUGCCCGACUUCCAGAUCCUCUUCAACAACUAUGUCACCAACAAGUCCAACAGCUUCCCCACUGGGGUGAUUGGCCGCAUCCCGGCCCAUGACCCCGACGUGUCAGACAGCCUCAACUACACCUUCGUGCAGGGCAAUGAGCUGCGCCUGUUGCUGCUGGACCCCGCCACGGGCGAGCUGCAGCUCAGCCGUGACCUGGACAACAACCGGCCACUGGAGGCGCUCAUGGAGGUGUCUGUGUCUGAGCAAUGUGGCUGAUGACCUAGCGGGCAACUCAAGCCUUGAAUAUGCUCUGCCUUCUUUCUGCACAGUGGUCUUCCAGAAACAUUGACAUUCUUUGUUUUAUUUUUAUUCUUAAUUUAAAAAAACUAUAUAUAAUGAAUUAUAUAUAACAUAUACAUUAUAAUGAAUUAUAUAUAAAUUAUAUACACAAA
rnacentral:sRNA from 1 species